rnacentral:lncRNA from 1 species
ACCUGCCAGAUCAGCCUACCCAAGCACAGCGGGUCGCGCUCUCUAGUGGAAGAGCAAUGUGUACUGAUUUGCAGAUAAGAAGCCAGGCUACUGCACUGACCCAUCCUGCCCCACUCUGGGAGUGCCCUGAGAUUCCAUCUCUUCCUUUGCAUUCUGGCAUCUGCUAGAAACUGCAGCCUGUUAACAUACGAAGCCUGUUCUUCUCAAAGGCUCCUCACUUGACCUGGCUACCCCAAAGCCUCACGGGUACAGUAUUUCUCUAGAUGAUUAUU